rnacentral:rRNA from 1 species
AACGAACGCUGGCGGCAUGCCUAACACAUGCAAGUCGAACGAGAUCUUCGGGUCUAGUGGCGCACGGGUGCGUAACGCGUGGGAAUCUGCCCUUUGGCUCGGCAUAACAGUUGGAAACGCCUGCUAAUACCGGAUGAUGUCCAAAGUCCAGAGAUUUAUCGACAGAGGAUGAGACCGAGUAGGAAUAGCUAGUUGGUGUGGUAAAGGCGCACCAAGGCGAGGAUCCUUAGCUGGUCUGAGAGGAUGAGCCGACACACUGGGGCUGAGACACGGCCCAGACUCCUAGGGGAGGCGGCAGUGGGGGAUAGUGGACAGUGGGCGAAAGGCUGAUGCAGCAAUGCCGGGUGAGUGAUGAAGGCCUUAGGGUUGUAAAGCUCUUUUACCCGGGAUGAUAAUGACAGUACCGGGAGAAUAAGCUCCGGCUAACUCCGUGCCAGCCGCCGCAGUAA